rnacentral:rRNA from 1 species
GGUCAAGUUAUUAAGGGUGCAGGGCGGAUGCCUUGGCACUAGGAGCCGAUGAAGGACGUGAUAAGCUGCGAUAAGCUUCGGGGAGUUGCACGUAAACUUUGAUCCGAAGAUUUCCGAAUGAGGAAACUCACUUAGAGUAAUGUCUAAGUAUCAUUAAGUGAAUACAUAGCUUAAUGAGGGGAACUCAGGGAACUGAAACAUCUAAGUACCUGAAGGAAGAGAAAGAAAUUCGAUUCCGUAAGUAGCGGCGAGCGAACGCGGAUUAGCCCAAACCAAUAAAGUUUUCUUUAUUGGGGUUGCGGACAUAUCAUAACGAAGAGGUAUCGUAAUUGAAGAGGUUUGGAAAGACCCACCACAGAAGGUAAUAGUCCUGUAUGUUAAACGAGAAGACUUCAGAUAUGAUCCAGAGUACCACGGGACACGUGAAACCCUGUGGGAAGCAGGAGGGACCACCCUCCAAGGCUAAAUACUACCUAGUGACCGAUAGCGUAUAGUACCGUGAGGGAAAGGUGAAAAGAACCCCGGGAGGGGAGUGAAAUAGAACCUGAAACCCUGCACUUACAAGCUGUGGAAGCACAUUUCUUGUGUGACCGCGUACUUUUUGUAGAACGGGCCAACGAGUUACGUUAAGUAGCAAGGUUAAGCACUUAAGGUGCGGAGCCGUAGCGAAAGCGAGUUUUAACUGAGCGUUCAGUUACUUGACGUAGACCCGAAACCGGGCGACCUACCCAUGAGCAGGAUGAAGCGAAAGUAAAAUUUCGUGGAGGUCCGAACCCACGAGCGUUGAAAAGCUCGGGGAUGACUUGUGGGUAGCGGUGAAAUUCCAAUCGAGCCCGGAGAUAGCUGGUUCUCCCCGAAAUAGCUUUAGGGCUAGCCUCAAGGUGAGAGAUACGGAGGUAGAGCACUGAAUGUCCUAGGGGGUAUUGCACCUACCGAAGACUAUCAAACUCCGAAUGCCGUCAUCUUAUACUUGGGAGUCAGACUGUGGGUGAUAAGAUUCAUAGUCGAAAGGGCAACAGCCCAGAUCGUCAGCUAAGGUCCCUAAAUGUAAGUUAAGUGGUAAAGGAUGUGGGAUUGCACAGACAACCAGGAUGUUGGCUUAGAAGCAGCCACUCAUUCAAAGAGUGCGUAAUAGCUCACUGGUCGAGUGAUCCUGCGCCGAAGAUUUCCGGGGCUAAAACUUACUACCGAAGCUACGGCAUCAGUAAUGAUGGGUAGGGGAGCUUCCCAUACGGGUUGAAGCAUGACCGUAAGGACAUGUGGACAGUAUGGGAGUGAGAAUGUUGGCAUGAGUAGCGAGAUGUGGGUGAGAAUCCCACAGGCCGUAAACCCAAGGUUUCCAGGGGAAGGUUCGUCCGCCCUGGGUUAGUCGGGACCUAAGCUGAGGCCGAAAGGCGUAGGUGAUGGACAACAGGUUGAUAUUCCUGUACUACCGAUAACCGUUUGAGAGAAGGGAUGACACAGUAGGAUAAGCUAAGCACACUGUUGGUUAUGUGUGCCCAAGCAUUGAGGCAGUCAAAGUAGGCAAAUCCGCUUUGAUAAUGCUGGGAUGUGAUGGGGAGCGAAAUUUAGUAGCGAAGUAGCUGAUUUCACACUGUCAAGAAAAGUCUCUAUCGAGGUUAAAGGUACCCGUACCGCAAACCGACACAGGUGGGUGAGGAGAGUAUCCUAAGGCCAGCGAGAGAACUGUUGUUAAGGAACUCGGCAAAAUGACCCCGUAACUUAGGGAUAAGGGGUGCCACCAUCAGGUGGCCGCAGAGAAUAGGCCCAAGCGACUGUUUACCAAAAACAUAGGUUUCUGCUAAGUCGCAAGACGAUGUAUAGGAGCUGACGCCUGCCCGGUGCUGGAAGGUUAAGGGGAUCUGUUAGAGCAAUCGAAGCAGUGAACUUAAGCCCCAGUAAACGGCGGCCGUAACUAUAACGGUCCUAAGGUAGCGAAAUUCCUUGUCGGGUAAGUUCCGACCCGCACGAAAGGCGUAACGAUUUGGGCACUGUCUCAACAACAGACUCGGUGAAAUUGUAAUUCCGGUGAAGAUGCCGGAUACCUGCGACAGGACGGAAAGACCCCAUGGAGCUUUACUGUAGCUUGACAUUGGGUCUUGGUA